GCAGCUGGAGCUGGUGUGGAGGCUGAACAGGAGCUGAUCUUGGAUUUGGUGGAGUCUCUGUCACGAGCCUGCUCCGAUGGAUUACUUUGGGGGUAUGCCAUCAUCAUCUGAUUCCAUGUCAACAGGAGUGUGGACUGAAGAUGAGAAAAUGCUACUUCAAGUAUCAACAACAAUAAACAGUUGUUGGUAACACUAGCAAGUCCAGUCGCCCCCUCCAGUCAGCUACAGAGGUUGUCUAUGACCUGGAUGACUGAGAACCUUCGCAGACAUCCUUCUAGUAUCAACAUCC